GGGGGCGGAUCCUUGCCCCCAUUCUGUCUCCCCAAUUUUCCCUCCCUCUAGGUGGAAGCACCGAUGGCAGAAUAUUAACUACCAAUUCCUGGGCAAGAGGAAAAGACAUCUAGUUCCCCUGCGCCCGUGAGAUCUGGGAUCCGGGGAGACAGGCUUCAGGUUCAUCGCAUCAUGGUCCCAAGACUAACUGGAGCCAGGCCAGGAUGAGCAGGGAGGUGUUCUCGGAGCACCACAAACUCCCGCAUCUCUCUCUCUGGGGAAGAUUCUCCGCCAUUGGUCUCUCCCCUGGGAUCUCCAUAUUUCCGCCCUUCACUGCCCAAAUAAAGCCGUUUUCGCCUCUCUC